rnacentral:rRNA from 1 species
GACGAACGCUGGCGGCGUGCUUAACACAUGCAAGUCGAACGGAAAGGCCCGGCUUUUGUGGGUGGCUCGAGUGGCGAACGGGGGGGUAACACGUGAGUAACCUGCCCUUGCCUUUGGGAUAACUUCAGGAAACUGGGGCUAAUACCGGAUAGGAGCUCCUGCUGCAUGGGGGGGGUUGGAAAGUUUCGGCGGUUGGGGAUGGACUCGCGGCUUAUCAGCUUGUUGGUGGGGUAGUGGCUUACCAAGGCUUUGACGGGUAGCCGGCCUGAGAGGGUGACCGGCCACAUUGGGACUGAGAUACGGCCCAGACUCCUACGGGAGGCAGCAGUGGGGAAUAUUGCACAAUGGGCGGAAGCCUGAUGCAGCAACGCCGCGUGCGGGAUGACGGCCUUCGGGUUGUAAACCGCUUUCGCCUGUGACGAAGCGUGAGUGACGGUAAUGGGUAAAGAAGCACCGGCUAACUACGUG